GAUGAACGCUGGCGGCGUGCUUAACACAUGCAAGUCGAACGAUGAAGCCCAGCUUGCUGGGUGGAUUAGUGGCGAACGGGUGAGUAACACGUGAGUAACCUGCCCUUAACUCUGGGAUAAGCCUGGGAAACUGGGUCUAAUACCGGAUAGGAGCGUCCACCGCAUGGUGGGUGCUGGAAAUAUUUAUCGGUUUUGGAUGGACUCGCGGCCUAUCAGCUUGUUGGUGAGGUAAUGGCUCACCAAGGCGCACCACGGGUAUCCGGCCUGAGAGGGUGACCGGCCACACUGGCACUUGAGACACGGCCCAUACUCCUACGGGAGGCAUCAGUGGGGAAUAUUGCACAAUGGGCGCAAGCUCUGAUGCAGCGACUCCUCGUGAGGGAUGACGGCCUUCUAGUUGUAAACCUCUUUCAGUAUGGAAGAAGCGUAAAGUGACGGUACCUGUCAACAAUGCUCCGGCUAACUACGUGCCAUUAUCCGCGGUAAUUACAUUUGGUGCGAGCGUUUCCUCGGAAUUAUUGGUCGUUAAGAGUUCCGUAUCGGUUUGUCGCGUCUGUCGUGAAAGUCCGGGGCUUAACUCCCGGAUCUGCGGUGGGUACGGGCAGACUAGAGUGCAGUAGGGGAGACUGGAAUUCCUGGUGUAGCGGUGGAAUGCGCAGAUAUCAGGAGGAACACCGAUGGCGAAGGCAGGUCUCUGGGCUGUAACGGACGCUGAGGAGCGAAAGCAUGGGGAGCGAACAGGAUUAGAUACCCUGGUAGUCCAUGCCGUAAACGUUGGGCACUAGGUGUGGGGACCAUUCCACGGUUUCCGCGCCGCAGCUAACGCAUUAAGUGCCCCGCCUGGGGAGUACGGCCGCAAGGCUAAAACUCAAAGGAAUUGACGGGGGCCCGCACAAGCGGCGGAGCAUGCGGAUUAAUUCGAUGCAACGCGAAGAACCUUACCAAGGCUUGACAUGUUCCCGAUCGCCGUAGAGAUACGGUUUCCCCUUUGGGGCGGGUUCACAGGUGGUGCAUGGUUGUCGUCAGCUCGUGUCGUGAGAUGUUGGGUUAAGUCCCGCAACGAGCGCAACCCUCGUUCCAUGUUGCCAGCACGUAAUGGUGGGGACUCAUGGGAGACUGCCGGGGUCAACUCGGAGGAAGGUGAGGACGACGUCAAAUCAUCAUGCCCCUUAUGUCUUGGGCUUCACGCAUGCUACAAUGGCCGGUACAAUGGGUUGCGAUACUGUGAGGUGGAGCUAAUCCCAAAAAGCCGGUCUCAGUUCGGAUUGGGGUCUGCAACUCGACCCCAUGAAGUCGGAGUCGCUAGUAAUCGCAGAUCAGCAACGCUGCGGUGAAUACGUUCCCGGGCCU
rnacentral:rRNA from 1 species